rnacentral:tRNA from 2 species
UCCGGCAUGGUGUAGUGGCUAGCAUUUCCGCCUCUCAAUGAAGAUUCCUUCGAGUUUCUCAACAGGUCGCGGGAGACCGGGGUUCAAUUCCCCGUACCGGAA